rnacentral:rRNA from 1 species
UAUUGGGCAAUGGGCGCAAGCCUGACCCAGCAACGCCGCGUGAAGGUAGAAGGCCCUCGGGUUGUAAACUUCUUUUAUUCGGGACGAAGAGAGUGACGGUACCGAAUGAAUAAGCCCCGGCUAACUACGUGCCCGCAGCCGCGGUAAUACGUAGGUGGCAAGCGUUAUCCGGAUUUACUGGGUGUAAAGGGCGUGUAGGCGGGAGAGCAAGUAAGACGUGAAAUUCCAGGGCUCAACCCUGGAACUGCGUUUGAAACUGUUCUUCUUGAGUGAUGGAGAGGCAGGCGGAAUUCCGUGUGUAGCGGUGAAAUGCGUAGAUAUACGGAGGAACACCAGUGGCGAAGGCGGCCUGCUGGACAUUAACUGACGCUGAGGCGCGGAAGCGUGGGGAGCAAACAGG